rnacentral:rRNA from 1 species
UACGGAGGGGGCUAGCGUUGUUCGGAAUUCCUGGGCGUAAAGCGCACGUAGGCGGCUUUGCAAGUCAGAGGUGAAAGCCCGGGGCUCAACCCCGGAAUUGCCUUUGAGACUGCAUCGCUAGAAUUGUGGAGAGGUGAGUGGAAUUCCGAGUGUAGAGGUGAAAUUCGUAGAUAUUCGGAAGAACACCAGUGGCGAAGGCGACUCACUGGACACAUAUUGACGCUGAGGUGCGAAAGCGUGGGGAGCAAACAGG